UUUGACCCCCAUAGCUAACUGGCCCCACCCCUUCCCAUCCCGAACAGGACCGUGAAACAGUUCAGCGCCAAUGAUAGUCAGCCUUAUAGCUCGCGAAAGUAGGUCAGAGUCAAAC
rnacentral:rRNA from 1 species